rnacentral:rRNA from 1 species
AGUGGGGAAUCUUUCGCAAUGGACGAAAGUCUGACGGAGCGACACCGCGUGGGGGAUGACGGCUUUCGGGUUGUAAACCCCUUUUCUGGGGGAAGAAUAAGGUCGGGAGGAAAUGCCCGUCCGAUGACGGUACCCCAGGAAUAAGCAUCGGCUAACUUCGUGCCAGCAGCCGCGGUAAGACGAAGGAUGCAAGCGUUAUCCGGAAUUACUGGGCGUAAAGGGCGUCUAGGCGGUCGGGCAAGUCACUUGUGAAAGCCCUCAGCUCAACUGAGGAACGUCAGGUGAAACUGUUCGGCUUGGGUGCAGGAGAGGAGGGUGGAACUCACAGAGUAGCGGUGGAAUGCGUAGAUACUGUGAGGUACCCCGAUGGCGAAGGCAACCCUCUGGCCUGCUACCGACGCUGAAGCGCGAAAGCGUGGGGAGCAAAGGGGAUUAGAUACCCCCGUAGUCCACGCCGCAAACGAUGUUCACUGGGUGUCGGUCACACAUAUAGAUCGGUGCCGGAGCUAACGCGUUAAGUGAACCGCCUGGGGAGUACGGCCGCAAGGCUAAAACUCAAGAGAAUUGACGGGUCCCUGCACAAGCGGUGGAGCACGUGGUUUAAUUCGAUGAUAAGCGAAGAACCUCACCUGGGCUUGACAUACUAGUGGUAGGAACCUGAAAGGGCGACGACCCUUCCCUUCGGGGUUGGGAGCUAGCACAGGUGAUGCAUGGCUGUCGUCAGCUCGUGUCGUGGGACGUAGGGUUAAGUCCCGAAACGAGCGCAACCCUUGUCGUUAGUUGCCAGCGGGUAAUGCCGGGGACUCUAACGAGACUGCUGGUGAAUAGCCGGAGGAAGGAGGGGAUGACGUCAAGUCAUCAUGUCCCUUAUGCCCAGGGCGACACACAUGCUACAAUGGGAGGUACAAAGGGUCGCAAUACCGUAAGGUGGAGCCAAUCCAUAAAAACCUUCCUUAGUUCGGAUUGAGGUCUGCAACUCGACCUCAUGAAGCCGGAAUCGCUAGUAAUCGCGGGUCAGCCAUACCGCGGUGAAUAUGU